rnacentral:rRNA from 1 species
UACGUAGGGUGCGAGCGUUGCCCGGAUUUAUUGGGCGUAAAGCGCACGCAGGCGGUCUGUUCAGUUUGGAGUGACAGUUCCUGGCUCAACCGGGAAAGUGCUUCGAAUACUGGCGGACUUGAGGGCUUCAGAGGGACACGGAAUUCCGGGUGGAGUGGUGAAAUGCGUAGAGAUCCGGAGGAACACCAAAGGCGAAGGCAGUGUCCUGGGGAGUACCUGACGCUCAGGUGCGAAAGCCAGGGGAGCGAACGGG